CAGCCACAUUGCCAAAUUACUCCUUUCUCAUACAACACUAUAAAAAACCCCAUUCAAAGUAAAAGUAAUCACUCGUUACUUGUCAAAAAAACGCCAUUUUAAGAAUUUUCUGAGAAAGUGAAGAAGUGUUUUCUGUCCUGUUCGUGACGGGUUAACGUGAAUAAUAAUUUAUAAUACAAAAAUUACCAAUAAUUUUAAACAAAUAAAACGUUUUUACGUUACCAACAACAACAACCAAUACGGAAAAGUCUAAACGAUUAAUAAAAUAUAAAAAAGAAAAGCAAGAAAUUAGAAAAUUGCAUUCCAAGCCAACAACACAUACAAAAGAAAUAUAAAAAAAGUCAGAAGUUAAAAAAGUAAGAAAAUUGAGAAGAAGAAGAAGAUUCAGCGAAUAAAAAAAAGUAAUUCUCAUUGGAUUUUUGCUUUUUAUUACACUCACACACCAGCAGCAAGUAAAAGACCAACAAACAGUGUGAAUUGCAACAAACUCUCGUGUGAAGCAGUGCAAAAGAAAGAGAUAACUAUAGAGUGUGUACUAAGAGAACAUAUAUAGAGAAUAGUUGAAUUGCAAAAAAUAAAAAGAAAAGAAAUUUGAAUUGUUUUUUUUAAUAAUACUGAAUAUAUUUAUUUUUUCUUUAAAAGAAAACUUUAGUUUUCUCGUUAAUAAAACAUAGAAAAGAAAAAAACAAUAAUAUAUUAAAAAAAAUAUUGUGCGUGUUGAGUGUGAACAAUUUUGCAUAAGAAAAAGUUUGCUAUUACGUCCAUUACAACAAAAAGAUCAACGAACUUCCGAAAGUAAGAAAGAUAAAGAAAAGGAAAACGAAUAAAGUGGAGUUGAAGGAAAAGAGGAUAAACAGAAGACUGAGGUUUAGUUAAUAAACUUACAUUAAAACAAAAAAGGAUUAACAAAAAAACUCCUAUAAACAAAUCAAACUAUUAUUAUUUA